ACCGCGGUAGCCAGUUGGUUAGGCGUCGGCGCGAUGCCGAAGGUCGCAGGUUCAAAUCCUGCCUGCGGUG